AUUUCUAGAAUAAUUUUCAGACUUAUACAUUUCCUUUUAGAGAGUUUUCAUGAAUCUCCUCUUCUAGGUUGCUCUUCAUUUGUGGCCUCUCUCUCUCAAACAACUUUUUUUGAACAUGAAGUUUGACCACCAAGACUCCUCUGCCAUGUACAGCUGUAUGCAGUCUUUCCUGCGUUGGUCUGCUGGCUCACUUACAACUGGAAAAACAGAACAGGCAUUAAAAGAGCUCCAGGAAUUGCCUAUAUCAAUGAAAAGAAGGAUGCUGCAUAAGGUCUGA
rnacentral:lncRNA from 1 species